AAGCAGCACGGGCAGCAGCAACCCCUGCUACAACGAGACCCCUGGUGUCCAUACAGGCAGGGAUUCAGUGACCACACAAACCCCUGUCAUGUUCCUCAGAAACCAGUGGGGUAUAGUGCUUAAGGUACUGGGGCUUGAACCUCACUUGGCCAUGAAGCUCAGUGGGUGGCCUUGGGUCAGUCACCAUCUCUUAGCCUAAGCCUACCUCACAGGGUUGUUUUGAGGAUAAAAAAGGAAGAGGGAGAAGGCUGUAUGCCACUUUGAGCUCCUCAGAAGAAAUAAUAACAAUGAUGAUGCUGAUGGUGGUGGUAGUAGUAGUAGUAGUAGUGGUAGUAGUGGCAGUGUUUUGGAGUCCAACACAAAAAGGAAGGAAGGAGAGCGAAGUAUUAGUACCACUCUAUUCUGCCUUAGUCAGACCACACCUGGAAUACUGCCUCCAAUUCUGGAUACCACAAUUUAAGUGGGAUAUUGACAAGCUGGAGUGCGUGGAGAGGAGAGCAACCAAGAUGAUCAAGGGUCUGGAAACCAGGCCUUAUGAGGAAUAAUUGAAGGAUCUGCUUAGCCUGGAAAAGAGGUGACUGAGAGGAAAUCGGGUAGCCAUUUUCAAAUAUCUGAUGGGCUGUCACAUGGGAAAGGGAGCAAGCUUGUUUUCUCCUGCUUCAAGUUCCAAGAAAGGAGAUUCCAACCAAACACCAGAGAAACCUUUUUGACAGUGAGAGCUGUAUGGCAGUGGAAUGGUCUUCUUCAGGAAGUUAUGGACUCUCCAUGUAACACAGGACCCACAUAACUCCCUGAGCAGGAGGACUGGGCAAAGCGCACACUGUUUUCCUGGGACAAAGAUUGAAGACCUACCCAAGGAGGCAAAGACCUUUUCGCCUGUAAGCCAAGGGAAGCCAAAGAUAAACACCGACAGCAGCCUCACCAAACAGGACAUGGGAUUGGGAGCAGGGGCAGAUUUAGGUUUGAUGAGGCCCUAAGCUACUGAAGGUAAUGGGGCCCUUUAUAUGUCCAGCAGUCCUUUGUCAACAACAAAUUGUCACCUUUUUUUGCGUUGAAUAUAUGCUAUAUGGUAAUUUAUGGACCUAAUAGGUUAGGUAUCUAAAGCCAUUUUAUUUGUUUUUUAUCUUAUAUUGUUGAACUGUACAUACAGGUUUUUUUCCUUUAAUUUUUUUGGGGCCCCCAGGAGAGUGGGGCCCUAAGCUAUAGCUUGCUUAGCUUAUACGUAAAUCUGGCACUGAUUGGGAGACAGGAGAUGGGAGUUCAAACCUCAUUGGGGUGGGGGGUGGAGGGCAAACAUGCCCCCAUUCAACUGUGGCAUGUCUACAAAAUCCCACAGAGCGGCCUCAGCAGUGAGGCACAGCCGCAGACAGCACUUAAUCACCUCAUGGAGUGUUGUGGGCUGCUGCGAGAACAGACUGAUGAACCAGAUUCGCUCUGGGCCUGAUCCAGCACAACUCUCUUGCUUAUGUUUAUUUGACUUUUUCCCCCAGCCUCAGCACUGAGUCACAGACACCUGGAUGAGCCCUAAGUAAAACAGCUCACGUUGCACAAAUGGUGGUAUAGGCCGGGCUGAGAGACAUUUAAAGGUGAACCUACCUAAUUCAUACUUUCCAGAGCGAGAUGUGAACUGAAACGCAACCAACUUCACGCAGUGCUGUUCUCCAACCAAGUAAUGCUUACCAAAAUGCAUGUGCUAAGCGGAGGGCGCAUAUAAAUGCAUAUAUUAGUGGAAAUAGCGCACACAAAUGACAAAGUGUUUUCCCAUCAGGCAAAAUGAUAUACGAAAUGGCGUAUAUUAGGAGAAAUGAACAACAGAAUGUUAUUGAGGACUUUUAUUCUUUUCUUAAGCAAGCUGAUGUGGAGAACGGAACCUCAGAUUUGAAAAACGAGAAACGGAG